CGCCUGUGCGAGGACUCGCGGCCCAGUCCCGGACCCAGCGGGCGCGCGCCGCCAGUGGGGGCUUUCUGGACGCCGAAGGGUUAAUUACAGUUCGCCAUUCCCGGGAGGGCGUGUGCGGCGGUGGUUAGGGUGUGAAGAAAGCAAAGCAGAGCCAGUUUGGUUACUGACCCUACUAAGCCCCUUCGGAACCCAAACCCUCCAGGAGGGUGGAGGAAGUUCUAGGCACUAAAUCAUCAUGCAUGAUUGGAAUCACAAAGGAGCAGCACGUGAGUUCUUUGUGCAUGACAAAGAUCUGGACUUCACUGAACACCCUCCUUUAAGAUCUUAAGACUAUAUUAGGAUCAUUCUUACCAACAGCUGAAUUCAAUCUCCACUGAUACCAACUGGCUUGAGAAGGCUUGGAAAAUCAAGAACUAUUUUUGAAACGCUAAUCUGAGGUGUCUAUUAGACAUGCAGAUGGAAGUGUCAAGCAAUCAGAUAUACAAAUCUGGCCCUAAAAUGGGAGAGCAGGGCUGGAGGUAUACAUUUGGGAGCUAUUGGUAAGGAGUGGAUUCUCUUCAUUAUGACAAGGUUGAGUAAGAAGCAAAUCAUCUGACCCUUCAAUUAUACUUUGAAGCAGACUCAGUUUGGAAGAGUGCUCUCUAAACAUUCAAACAUCUAAAGAGGAUAUUAAUAAUUGCCUGAGACUUAACACCACCACCCUAAUGCUCCAUAGUUCCAGACCAUUCUUCCAGCUUCAGGCAGCCACCUCCAUCAGGAUGCUCCUACUCAGAGGAACAAGAAGAGGGUGUAAAGGCUUUAGCUCAGUGCCAACCAUUAAACUCACUGAAAAAUAAUUCAAAGCACAUAUCUUAUCAAUGGGUAUCUAUGUCAUCAUUUAUCAUCGUCAGUAUUACAAUGGAAUGCACAUCUUGAAAGAAAGGCAGCUAAACAUAGUU